rnacentral:rRNA from 1 species
GAUGAACGCUGGCGGCGUGCCUAAUACAUGCAAGUCGAGCGAACGGACGAGAAGCUUGCUUCUCUGAUGUUAGCGGCGGACGGGUGAGUAACACGUGGAUAACCUACCUAUAAGACUGGGAUAACUUCGGGAAACCGGAGCUAAUACCGGAUAAUAUUUUGAACCGCAUGGUUCAAAAGUGAAAGACGGUCUUGCUGUCACUUAUAGAUGGAUCCGCGCUGCAUUAGCUAGUUGGUAAGGUAACGGCUUACCAAGGCAACGAUGCAUAGCCGACCUGUGGGGGGGUUCGGCGCCUCUGAGACUGAGACACGAUCCAGACACCGACGGGAGGCAGCAGUAGGGAAUCGUCCGCGAAGGGCGGAAGCCUGACGGAGCAACGCCAGGUGGGUGAUGAAGCUCUGCGGGUCGUAAAACGCUGUUAUGGGGGAAGAACAUAUGUGUAAGUAACUGUGCGCGUCUGAACGGUACCGAUUCAGAAGGCCACGGCUAACAACGG